rnacentral:rRNA from 1 species
GACGAACGCUGGCGGCGUGCUUAACACAUGCAAGUCGAACGGAAAGGCCCUGCUUUUGUGGGGUGCUCGAGUGGCGAACGGGUGAGUAACACGUGAGUAACCUACCCUUGACUUUGGGAUAACUUCAGGAAACUGGGGCUAAUACCGGAUAGGAGCUCCUGCUGCAUGGUGGGGGUUGGAAAGUUUCGGCGGUUGGGGAUGGACUCGCGGCUUAUCAGCUUGUUGGUGGGGUAGUGGCUUACCAAGGCUUUGACGGGUAGCCGGCCUGAGAGGGUGACCGGCCACUUUGGGACUGAGAUACGGCCCAGACUCCUACGGGAGGCAGCAGUGGGGAAUAUUGCACAAUGGGCGGAAGCCUGAUGCAGCAACGCCGCGUGCGGGAUGACGGCCUUCGGGUUGUAAACCGCUUUCGCCUGUGACGAAGCGUGAGUGACGGUAAUGGGUAAAGAAGCACCGGCUAACUACGUG